GGCCCCCUAGCUCAGUGGUAGAGCGUGAGAUUCCAGCUUAGCUCGGUUACCUCAAUGUCAUCCGUUCAAUCCGGGUGGGGGUCA